rnacentral:rRNA from 1 species
UACGAGGGGUGCAAACGUUAUUCGGAAUGACUGGGCGUAAAGGGUGCGUAGACGGCGCAUUAAGUUUGCUGUUAAAUUCUUCAGCCUAACUGAAGAUCAGCGGUGAAAACUGGUGUGCUAGAGGUUGGAAGAGAGAAGUGGAAUUCUCGGAGUAGCGGUAAAAUGCGUAGAUCUCGAGAGGAACACCGAUGGCGAAAGCAGCUUCUUGGUCCAAUCCUGACGUUGAGGCACGAAAGCGUGGGGAGCAAACAGG